UCGGGAGUGUCAGAAUUAUAUGAGUUUGUUUUAGGAGCAGAAUAUGGGGUUUUCCUCCUCCCGAG
rnacentral:tRNA from 1 species